UCUAGGAGGUCUGAAAAGGCUGCAUGCCCUUCUGAAAUCGUCGGGAGGCAUGGAUGCCGGACGCCGAAGCGCGCCAUGGAUGGCCCUGAAGCGGUUUCAGAAGGGCAUGCAGCCUUUUCAGGCCGGUUUCG
rfam:Halioglobus sp. HI00S01 HI00S01_c12, whole genome shotgun sequence.